UAAUAUUCAAUAGGCAAGCAAGGGAAACGAACCCAUACAGUUAAACGUUCUAACACAUCCUGAAAAGGGUCAAAUUCCGGGCACCAUUGACGAAUAGUCAAGUAGUGGUCAGCAAUAAUCCAGGGUCCCUCCGAUCUAGCAAAGUCCAAGUCCCCAGAAUUAGCGAAACAGACCAAAAAGAAAUUGUUAUCCAAAGCAAUAACAUCCAUUGGAGCAGAAGGUUUCCAGAGUUCUUUCAAUCGUCUACACAAAUAUGUAUAGCCUAUUGAACGUCCAAAAAGUUUCACAAUAAGGGAAUUUUUCCAAGGUCGACACAAUCGACGUUUAUCCACACUCGAAAGUCUAAUCACAGGGCAACGAUCAUCCUCAUCAUCCUCCUCACCAUCCGAAACAAAAUGAAACUC
rnacentral:lncRNA from 1 species